GAUGAACGCUAAGCGGCAGGCUUAAUACAUGCAAGGCGAGGGGGCAGCAAUGUCACCGUCGUACGGGUGCGUAACGCGUAUGCAACCUACCUUCAACUGGGGGAUAGCCCGGGGAAACCCGGAUUAAUACCGCAUAAUACAGGGGGCCCUCAUGGGUCUAUUUGUUAAAGAUUUAUUGGUUGAAGAUGGGCAUGCGUUCG
rnacentral:rRNA from 1 species